GUUGAGGGAUGUAGGAAGACGUGAAGGCGGCGGCCAGCCCUCUGACGCCAUCUCACUUGCGAUGGUGCCAUCUCACUCUGAAUCCAUCUCUCUUGCGCCACCUAACCCCGCGCUACGCAGCCCGCGCAGCAGGUGGAGCAGAAGCAGGUGCGCGUGCGGCAGCUGGUGCGGCAGCACACGCACGCCGACGGCAGCAUCACAGAGGAGAUCAUCUCCGAGCAGAUACUGCAGGAAGGAGACGAGGGCUACGAUCAGCUGGGGAAAGAGCCCGUGGUGGUGUCUGAGGACGUACAGAUGACGACCGCCGGCGGGUAGAGGGUACCUCUCGGACCGUGGCGGACCACGGCGGACCGCGUGGACCAGGCGGCGAGCCGGACCGCCGCCCGGCUGAGACCACGUGUGCCGGGAGACGGGUCAGCUGCCGGUGAGGUGUCAGUGACCGUCCUCAGCCUGCGCGGCCGCCCUGCGGCAGCCCGAGAGUAGCCGCGGAUCGUGCGGCACCCGAGUGGAUUGCCGUGAUCUCUGCCAGGCGUGGGCCGACUCGGCUCGCGCUGCUGCCAAAGCGUUUGCGACGGAACUUGGGAACGCGUGACGCCGGGAGCUUACGGCUGGCGGCUGGCUGCACGCUCGGAGGCCAUCGUCAGCGAUCCCAUGAGCGGUGCGUUAGUGUGACGGGCUGCCUCGCCUUGCAGACGCCUUGUGACAUUUCCCAGAGACGAUUUACUGAGGCGCUUUGACGAUGUUGCGUGACUAUGCAAUUCGGAAAACGUUCUCUUAUUUCAUCGUAAUAUGUUUCGUACUUUGAUUGCGUCGGUCUCAAAACGCAAAACGACCGCGAGGUUGGUGGGUUGAGAACCGGCGCGGCUCGCGCUGGUUAUGUUAUCUUUGUCAGAUUAUCUGUUCAUGCGUCUUGCAAUAUGACAGAACAGGGUAUAGGGUACCGGAACACGUGAACGAAAUAUAUCGUCCGCCAU